GGUUAAGCGACUAAGCGUACACGGUGGAUGCCUAGGCAAUCAGAGGCGAUGAAGGACGUGCUAAUCUGCGAUAAGCGUCGGUAAGGUGAUAUGAACCGUGAUAACCGACGAUUUCCGAAUGGGGAAACCCAGUGCAAUUCGUUGCACUAUCGUUUGAUGAAUACAUAGUCAAACGAAGCGAACCGGGGGAACUGAAACAUCUCAGUACCCCGAGGAAAAGAAAUCAACCGAGAUUCCCCUAGUAGCGGCGAGCGAACGGGGAGCAGCCCAGAGUCUUAAUCAGCAUUAGCAUCAGGAGAACGGUCUGGAAAGUCCGGCAGUAAAGGGUGAUAGCCCCGUAUCCGAAGGUGUUAGUGUUGUGAACUCGACGAGUAGGGCGGGACACGUGUUAUCCUGUCUGAAUAUGGGGGGACCAUCCUCCAAGGCUAAAUACUCCUGAUUGACCGAUAGUGAACCAGUACCGUGAGGGAAAGGCGAAAAGAACCCCGGCGAGGGGAGUGAAAUAGAACCUGAAACCGUGUACGUACAAGCAGUGGGAGCCCCACCACCAAAGCAUUUUCUGGUGUUGAGGACAACUUUAAAGUGACAUUCAACACGCGUUGGCGGAGCGUUUUUUGCGACGCCCAACACACAAAACAAGCAGUGAAUGUGCUUUGGGGUGGGGUGACUGCGUACCUUUUGUAUAAUGGGUCAGCGACUUAUAUUCUGUAGCAAGGUUAACCGUAUAGGGGAGCCGUAGGGAAACCGAGUCUUAACUGGGCGAAU
rnacentral:rRNA from 1 species